rnacentral:rRNA from 1 species
UAGAGUUUGAUUCCCUGCUCAGGACGAACGCUGGCGGCGUGCUUAACACAUGCAAGUCGAACGGUGACGACCAGCUUGCUGGUCUGAUCAGUGGCGAACGGGUGAGUAACACGUGAGCAACCUGCCCCUUACUCUGGGAUAAGCCUUGGAAACGAGGUCUAAUACCGGAUACGAGACGCACGGGCAUCUGUAGCGUCUGGAAAGAUUUAUCGGUGAGGGAUGGGCUCGCGGCCUAUCAGCUUGUUGGUGGGGUAAUGGCCUACCAAGGCGACGACGGGUAGCCGGCCUGAGAGGGCGACCGGCCACACUGGGACUGAGACACGGCCCAGACUCCUACGGGAGGCAGCAGUGGGGAAUAUUGCACAAUGGGCGCAAGCCUGAUGCAGCGACGCCGCGUGCGGGAUGACGGCCUUCGGGUUGUAAACCGCUUUCAGCAGGGAAGAAGCGAAAGUGACGGACCUGCAGAAGAAG